AUUGAACGCUGGCGGCAGGCCUAACACAUGCCAGUCGAGCGGAGCGGCGGACGGGUGAGUAAUGCCUAGGAAUCUGCCUGGUAGUGGGGGAUAACGUCCGGAAACGGGCGCUAAUACCGCAUACUAUCAGAUGAGACUAGGUCGGAUUAGCUAGUUGGUGGGGUACAGGCCUACCAAGGCGACGAUCCGGAACUGGUCUGAGAGGAUGAUCAGUCAAACGGGAACGGAGACACGGUCCAGACUCCUACGGGAGGAAGCAGUGGGGAAGAUGGGACAAUGGGCGAAAGCCUGAUCCAGCCAUGCCGCGUGUGUGAAGAAGGUAUUCGGAUGGUAAAGCACUUUAAGUUGGGAGGCGUUACCAACAGAAUAAGCACCGGCUAACUUCGGGCCAGCAGCCGCGGUAAUAC
rnacentral:rRNA from 1 species